CGAACAUAAAUAAUCCGAAAAGUAGCACACCGAACUGAAAAUUCAGCGAAGAUGUAACCACGCCGAGACUUCCGAGAGAUAUCAAAGCAAUAGAUCCCACAACCAGGACUAGAACCGGCCUGUCUAUGUAAUAAUCCAGUACUCUUCACAAAAUCAGCAAUAGCACAGAACUACCGAAGAGAACCAGUGCCAAAACAAUGACUGAGGAGCAUCUCCUUACCUUCAACACGAACGGCAUUUACUCCUCGUAGUUUUCGAUUCGCAGAUUGAGACAUACAUAAAUAGCAAAUAAUUGAUAACGUAUGAAUAGAUAAUAAUGCCUUCAUGUCUUGCAUUUAUUAGAAUUACUAGCGCAAUGUUGCGAUAUUGAGAUGGAUAUACCUCUUCUGAAUAACAUUAAGGAGUUUUUGAUAUAGUAUUAGAUAUUCGAUUACAGUAAUUGGCGAAUGUAUCCUACCAGCAUA
rnacentral:lncRNA from 1 species